rnacentral:rRNA from 1 species
UACGUAGGAUGCAAGCGUUAUCCGGAUUUAUUGGGUUUAAAGGGUGCGCAGGUUGUUUGAUAAGUCAGUGGUGAAAGUCUGUCGCUUAACGGUAGGAUUGCCAUUGAUACUGUUGGACUUGAAUAUGGAUGAGGUAGGCGGAAUGUGUAGUGUAGCGGUGAAAUGCAUAGAUAUUACACAGAACACCGAUUGCGAAGGCAUCUCACAAAGCCGUUAUUGACGCUGAGGCACGAAAGUGUGGGGAUCAAACAGGAUUA